rnacentral:lncRNA from 1 species
AAGCACCACUCUAUGCUCUGGAUCUCGCCUUCCACUUUUCAAGGCAUCACUCUAAUGAAGAUCUCCUCCGUCAGCUGUGCUCUCCAUGGCCUCUGAACAUAUAACAUAGUCCUAGCUCACCCAAAUGAAACAAACAGAAGACAAAGAAGAUCUGCUUCAAAAUGAUGGCUCUCUCAGUGGAGAAACCUGAAAAUGGCUGACAUCCUUUAAAGAAGACAGAUU